rnacentral:tRNA from 1 species
GGGGGCGUGGCGGAAUGGUAGACGCUACGGACUUAAAUAAUUGAGCCUUGUUAAAGAGAUUUAACAAGUGUAAGUUCUCAAAUUCAGGGAAUCCUAAGUCUUUGUUAAUCUAUGAUUUAGAUAAGGCAAUCCUGAGCCAAGCUUAUUCUUAUAAAAGAUUAGGAAGGUGCAGAGACUCGACGGGAACUACCCUGUAUUAAAUAAAGGGUAAAGAGAGAGUCCAAUUCUUAAAGUCUAAUUAGAUAAUAGCGAAAGCUAUAUAAGGGAUGAAAAUCCGUUGACCGCAAGGUCGUGAGAGUUCAAGUCUCUCCGCCCCCA